UACGGGGGGGGCAAGCGUUGUUCGGAAUUACUGGGCGUAAAGGGCUCGUAGGCGGCCAACUAAGUCAGACGUGAAAUCCCUCGGCUUAACCGGGGAACUGCGUCUGAUACUGGAUGGCUUGAGUUCGGGAGAGGGAUGCGGAAUUCCAGGUGUAGCGGUGAAAUGCGUAGAUAUCGGGAGGAACACCGGUGGCGAAGGCGGCUCUCUGGACCACUACUGACGCUGAGGCGCGAAAGCUAGGGGAGCAAACAGGG
rnacentral:rRNA from 1 species